CGCGUGACGUCACGAGAUAACAGGAAGCUGCUGCUCCGCCCGUGCACUGAAAUCCGAGGACAAGCCCGUUUGAGCUGCUGUACCGCUUUUGUUUUCAGAAGCGACCUGCCCACAACACAAGCUGUCGCUUCCUCUGCAGAAUUUGUCUGAUGGAGCAAAGGCACUCAGCACAGCUCGGUGCAAAAAGGCAUCAAUGCAACCGGCGUGCAAACAGCACGGAUAGUACUGAACAUUUGACAUGGCACCAGAUAACUCACACAGGAGAGAAACCCUUCAAGUGCAGUGUGUGCGGGAAGGCAUUUUCACAGUCAUCUGCUCUUGUAGCACACCAGAGAACACACACGGGAGAGAAACCCUUCAAGUGCA